rnacentral:rRNA from 1 species
AGUACGUGAAACUGCUUAGAGGUUAAGCCCGAUGAACCUGAAUAUCCAUUAUGGAAAAUUCAAUAUUAAGAAUAUAAUAUAAAUAAUAUUAUAAAAAUAGUAUGCAAUUUUUCCAUAUAAGGACAUUGUAAUCUGUUAAUGUUAUAAAUAUUUAUCAAAAGAUCUAAUACUUAAGUUUAUUUAAAUUGUUUAUUUUCGGAUAUUCAACAUAAAAUAAAUGUGUUAGAUUGGAUAAAUCAUUGACAGAUCGAAUUAUAUAUUGUGCAUAAAUUCUUCGGAAUUUUUCAGUAGUAGAUAAAUCUAUUGAUUUAUUUAUUGAUUGCAUGCAUAAUUAUGAUUGACAAUGCGAUAGAUUCAGGAUACCUUCGGGACCCGUCUUGAAACACGGACCAAGGAGUCUAACAUAUGUGCAAGUCAUUGGGUAUUUUUAAUAAAACCCAAUGGCAUAAUUAACUUAACUGUUAUUUAUAAUGAGAUUAAUUUAUAUUUUGUUAUGAUUUAUUUAUUCAAUCUCGGGGCGUUCUAUACAGUUAUGCAUAAUAAUAUUUAUAUUAUUUAUGCCUCUAACUAGAGC